GGGGCUAAACCAUGCACCGAAGCUGCGGCAGCGACGCUGAUGCGUUGUUGGGUAGGGGAGCGUUCUGUAAGCCUGCGAAGGUGGCCUGUGAGGGUUGCUGGAGGUAUCAGAAGUGCGAAUGCUGACAUAAGUAACGAUAAAGCGGGUGAAAAGCCCGCUCGCCGGAAGACCAAGGGUUCCUGUCCAACGUUAAUCGGGGCAGGGUGAGUCGACCCCUAAGGCGAGGCCGAAAGGCGUAGUCGAUGGGAAACGGGUUAAUAUUCCCGUACUUGGUGUUACUGCGAAGGGGGGACGGAGAAGGCUAUGUUGGCCGGGCGACGGUUGUCCCGGUUUAAGCGUGUAGGUGUGUGUUCCAGGUAAAUCCGGUUCACUUUAACACUGAGGCGUGAUGACGAGGCACUACGGUGCUGAAGCAACAAAUGCCCUGCUUCCAGGAAAAGCCUCUAAGCAUCAGGUAACAUCAAAUCGUACCCCAAACCGACACAGGUGGUCAGGUAGAGAAUACCAAGGCGCUUGAGAGAACUCGGGUGAAGGAACUAGGCAAAAUGGUGCCGUAACUUCGGGAGAAGGCACGCUGACACGUAGGUGAAGUGAUUUACUCACGGAGCUGAAGUCAGUCGAAGAUACCAGCUGGCUGCAACUGUUUAUUAAAAACACAGCACUGUGCAAACACGAAAGUGGACGUAUACGGUGUGACGCCUGCCCGGUGCCGGAAGGUUAAUUGAUGGGGUCAGCGCAAGCGAAGCUCCUGAUCGAAGCCCCGGUAAACGGCGGCCGUAACUAUAACGGUCCUAAGGUAGCGAAAUUCCUUGUCGGGUAAGUUCCGACCUGCACGAAUGGCGUAAUGAUGGCCAGGCUGUCUCCACCCGAGACUCAGUGAAAUUGAACUCGCUGUGAAGAUGCAGUGUACCCGCGGCAAGACGGAAAGACCCCGUGAACCUUUACUAUAGCUUGACACUGAACAUUGAGCCUUGAUGUGUAGGAUAGGUGGGAGGCUUUGAAGUGUGGACGCCAGUCUGCAUGGAGCCGACCUUGAAAUACCACCCUUUAAUGUUUGAUGUUCUAACGUGGACCCGUAAUCCGGGUUGCGGACAGUGUCUGGUGGGUAGUUUGACUGGGGCGGUCUCCUCCUAAAGAGUAACGGAGGAGCACGAAGGUUGGCUAAUCCUGGUCGGACAUCAGGAGGUUAGUGCAAUGGCAUAAGCCAGCUUGACUGCGAGCGUGACGGCGCGAGCAGGUGCGAAAGCAGGUCAUAGUGAUCCGGUGGUUCUGAAUGGAAGGGCCAUCGCUCAACGGAUAAAAGGUACUCCGGGGAUAACAGGCUGAUACCGCCCAAGAGUUCAUAUCGACGGCGGUGUUUGGCACCUCGAUGUCGGCUCAUCACAUCCUGGGGCUGAAGUAGGUCCCAAGGGUAUGGCUGUUCGCCAUUUAAAGUGGUACGCGAGCUGGGUUUAGAACGUCGUGAGACAGUUCGGUCCCUAUCUGCCGUGGGCGCUGGAGAACUGAGGGGGGCUGCUCCUAGUACGAGAGGACCGGAGUGGACGCAUCACUGGUGUUCGGGUUGUCAUGCCAAUGGCACUGCCCGGUAGCUAAAUGCGGAAGAGAUAAGUGCUGAAAGCAUCUAAGCACGAAACUUGCCCCGAGAUGAGUUCUCCCUGAGACUU
rnacentral:rRNA from 1 species